AUUGAACGCUGGCGGCAGGCCUAACACAUGCAAGUCGAGCGCGUGGCGGACGGGUGAGUAAUGUCUGGGAAACUCCCUGAUGGCGGGGGAUAACUACUGGAAACGGUAGCUAAUACCGCAUACCAUCAGAUGUGCCCAGAUGGGAUGAGCUAGUUGGUGGGGUAACGGCUCACCAAGGCGACGAUCCCUAUCUGGUCUGAGAGGAUGACCAGCCACACUGGAACUGAGACACGGUCCAGACUCCUACGGGAGGCAGCAGGGGGGAAUAUUGCACAAUGGGCGCAAGCCUGAUGCAGCCAUGCCGCGUGUAUGAAGAAGGCCUUCGGGUUGUAAAGUACUUUCAGCGGGGAGGCGUUACCCGCAGAAGAAGCACCGGCUAACUCCGUGCCAGCAGCCGCGGUAAUUC
rnacentral:rRNA from 1 species